rnacentral:rRNA from 1 species
UACAGAGGUGGCAAGCGUUGUUCGGAAUUACUGGGCGUAAAGGGCGCGUAGGCGGCCUUCUAAGUCAGACGUGAAAUCCCCCGGCUUAACCUGGGAACUGCGUCUGAUACUGGGAGGCUUGAGUAUGGGAGAGGGAUGUAGAAUUCCAGGUGUAGCGGUGAAAUGCGUAGAUAUCUGGAGGAAUACCGGUGGCGAAGGCGGCAUCCUGGACCAUAACUGACGCUGAGGCACGAAAGCGUGGGUAGCAAACAGG